rnacentral:rRNA from 1 species
AUUGAACGCUGGCGGCAUGCUUUACACAUGCAAGUCGAACGGUAACAGGCCUUCGGGUGCUGACGAGUGGCGAACGGGUGAGUAAUGCAUCGGAACGUACCCAGAGGUGGGGGAUAACGCAGCGAAAGCUGUGCUAAUACCGCAUGUGAUCUGAGGAUGAAAGCGGGGGACCGCGCAGCAAUGUUUGGCCUCGCGCCUUUGUAGCGGCCGAUGUCGGAUUAGCUAGUUGGUGGGGUAAAGGCCUACCAAGGCGACGAUCCGUAGCUGGUCUGAGAGGACGACCAGCCACACUGGGACUGAGACACGGCCCAGACUCCUACGGGAGGCAGCAGUGGGGAAUUUUGGACAAUGGGCGCAAGCCUGAUCCAGCAAUGCCGCGUGCGGGAAGAAGGCCUUCGGGUUGUAAACCGCUUUUGGCAGGAACGAAACGGUGUCCGCUAAUACCGGGCGCUAAUGACGGUACCUGCAGAAUAAGCACCGGCUAACUACGUG